AUAAUACUAAGAUGCAAUUCAGGAAAAAGUAAACGAUGAUCCAUCAUCAACUCUACGUUAAAAUGAUAGAUUAGCAGUUUAAAUAUGUAUGUGAACUAUCAGCGUAUUCUGCAGUUUACGCUUCUUU
rnacentral:sRNA from 1 species